GAAGCCCAAAGGAGGAAAAAAGAGUUGCCUGUGGAGUAGGCUAGGAGUUCUCAGUACUGUGGUCAAAGUUAGAUGUGAUUGUUGAUGGAGGUGUUAUAAACCCAACUAAGGAAUGUCGAUUGGGGUCUACAGUGGUUGAUCUCUCCAAURCUGGUCAGUUUGCUGUCAUUAGAGAGGGAAGUGCCUACCAAGAAACUGUGCAAACACUGGAAAGACAUGGAUUACUACAAUCAUGAUGGAAAUCCACUUAUAGACCAGACUGCUGUUUUAGAUCAACUAGCCUGUUCUUGAACCCAUCCAAAAAAAAUUGAAAUUUGUUGUUUUGUGUGCUGGGGUGUUUCAUCACACCCCAGCACACCUUUGUAGUAAUUUUUCAAUCUGAAUGUCUUUUGUAUAUAUAGUGUUUUAUUAUUUACUUUUUGUACUUUUUCUGAMAUUUUAUUGAAUGUAGUUAAAAACAAGUGUUAUUAAUUAUUACUCAAUAACAUACAUACAAUUAAUAAUAUAAGAUUUUUCAGGGAACAGCGGCGUAAAUUGCUCGGCUGUAAACUUCAAUGAAGCAUUUAGGACAUGCACUCUGAGUUUUAAAUCAAACUAUAUACAUCUACAUUACAAAAUUGUAUUUCUGGCAACAACCACUUAGUUUAGUGUGGAAUAUUUAUAUAAACAGUAACUCCUUCGGAUAAAUAUCUUAGAUUUUAGAUU